rnacentral:rRNA from 1 species
UUAACCGUCCAUACCCCGUUGAAUACACCGGUUCUCGUCCGAUCACCGAAGUUAAGCAACGUCGGGCGCGGUCAGUACUUGGAUAUGCGACCGCCUGAGAACACCACGUGUUUCAAU